AUGCUCACUUUGGCAGCACAUAUACAAAAAUUGGAACGAUACAGAGAAGAUUAGCAUGGCCCCUGCACAAAGAUGACACAUGGGUUUGUGAAGCAUUCCAUAUUUUU